rnacentral:rRNA from 1 species
UAGGGAAUCUUCGGCAAUGGACGAAAGUCUGACCGAGCAACGCCGCGUGAGUGAAGAAUGUUUUCGGAUCGUAAAACUCUGUUGUUAGAGAAGAACAAGGACGUUAGUAACUGAACGUCCCCUGACGGUACCUAACCAGAAAGCCACGGCUAACUACGUGACAUCAGCCGCGGUAAUACGUAGGUGGCAAGCGUUGUCCGGAUUUAUUGGGCGUCAAGCGAGCGCAGGCGGUUUCUUAAGUCUGAUGUGCAAGCCCCCGGCUCAACCGGGGAGGGUCAUUGGAAACUGGGAGGCCUGAGUGCAGUAGAGGAGAGUGGAAGUCCAUGUGUAGCGGUGAAAUGCGUAGAUAUAUGGAGGAACACCAGUGGCGAAGGCGGCUCUCUAGUCUGUAACUGACGCUGAGGCUCGAAAGCGUGGGGAGCAAACAGG